ACCUGGGUAGUGUAGUGGUAGCAUGCGCCCCCGGUAAGGAUGAAACGCGGGUUCGACUCCCGUCUGAGGCU